UACGUAGGGUGCAAGCGUUGUCCGGAAUUAUUGGGCGUAAAGAGCUCGUAGGCGGUUUGUCGCGUCUGCUGUGAAAACUCAGGGCUUAACCCUGAGCCUGCAGUGGGUACGGGCAGACUAGAGUGUGGUAGGGGAGAUCGGAAUUCCUGGUGUAGCGGUGGAAUGCGCAGAUAUCAGGAGGAACACCGGUGGCGAAGGCGGAUCUCUGGGCCAUAACUGACGCUGAGGAGCGAAAGCAUGGGGAGCGAACAGG
rnacentral:rRNA from 1 species